rnacentral:lncRNA from 1 species
UGUAAGAGCAUCCUACAAUGGGGGAUCUAAACCGAGAGACACAGGACAUGUUGAUGACUGAGUUAGGCUGUGGGCCUGAGAAACUGAAGCCAGGAGUUGCACAGGCAGCCGAAGCCAAGCACCUUUCAUCAGUGAUAUUACCAAUACCAAGCCUGAUAGAGUCCUUUGUGGUCAAGGUGAAAAAUUUUCCCUGACUUCUUUGAAAGCCUAUCUAGGACAUUGAUGAUGACUGACCUUGAAGGUGUUGAAGACCUGUAAAGUAUCCUUGUCUCCGGAAUCAUGGUUUUAUGAUUCUCAACAUUCCAUCAUGGAGAAGGAUCCCCACCCUACUUCAAAAGCCUUUUUGAAGGUCAGAAUGCAUUCUGUGAGUGGCAGCUCAUGUCACAUACCUCUGGAAAUCAGUUCUCUAAUACACAACUGUUUUGUAAUUUCAUCUAUUUUCUGCAUGUGGUUUGAUCACUUCCAGGCUGGUAUCCAGGGGGAGACUUGAGAACCAUCUCAGAGACAGAAGUGGACUUUUUAGCAGCUUGCUUAUUCCCAGGCUGAAGUCAAGAGUUCAUGGCACGAAUUAAGGAAGAAUUAAAAUGCUUAUGUAUCAACUAAUGCUGAUGAAAUUCAGUCUGAGGCUUCAAGAGUUAAUAUCCCAUCAUGUUCUUGAUGUUAUCCCAUUGCAUUAAUAUGGUUUGCUCGUUGAGUUCCUGAGGGUGGGGAAUGAGAGGAACUUGUGAGUGGCCUCUGGUUUUACCAGUGUACAAGGGAGGAAGUCUGGAGUGGCUGAAAUUCCCCCUUGCACACAGAUCCAGGUGAGUGGUGAGCAGGCUUCUUUCAAAAGCAGAACCUGUGGCACAUGGGCAUUGACUGAAAGGGAACAAACCAGACAGAGAAACUUCACUUUUCCAAGACAUUAGUAACUAACUGCAAAGCAAGAAAGCAUUUUGCAGAAUGAGAGUAGCCAGGCCCCAUCCCCUACAUCCUGCCCUGUUCAUCUCUGCCACUGCCAGAACCUGAGUAUGAAGGGCAUUUGUUCAGCGCAGCCAAAUGCAAGCAGAACAGUGGGAUAAAGAGGGGUAGAAAAUCAAGUGAGCAGAGCUAACACAAAAUGGAGACAAGGUAUUUCAGCACCUGACUCUUUGAGCAAGAGUCUAUAAAUCUUGUUCUCACUGUUAAAGGCACUCAAGACCGGAGGGAAGUCAUCAUGAGGGACAUGUAAUACUUUAUCCUUUUCCCCACUCACUUUCUCCAUGAAGGAAUUAUGAAGAGAAGAGUUCACAAGAAACAAAUAAGAGGACAAAGUAUCUUUCACUGAAUUUACUCUCGUGCAAAGCCAAUGACGCAAGUCUCCUGGGCAUAAAUUCAGUGUUUUGUAUAAACCUAAGGCUGUGUAUUUGAUACUUCAUACUGUUUUUUUCCAACCUGCUAAGUAUUGCCACGUAAUUUCCACACAGGACUAUUAUUAACACAAGUCUGUGCCACUGCUGUGGCCUCACAGA